CGGGACACGUGGUAUCCUGUCUGAAUAUGGGGGGACCAUCCUCCAAGGCUAAAUACUCCUGACUGACCGAUAGUGAACCAGUACCGUGAGGGAAAGGCGAAAAGAACCCCGGCGAGGGGAGUGAAAAAGAACCUGAAACCGUGUACGUACAAGCAGUGGGAGCACGCUUAGGCGUGUGACUGCGUACCUUUUGUAUAAUGGGUCAGCGACUUAUAUUCUGUAGCAAGGUUAACCGAAUAGGGGAGCCGAAGGGAAACCGAGUCUUAACUGGGCGUUAAGUUGCAGGGUAUAGACCCGAAACCCGGUGAUCUAGCCAUGGGCAGGUUGAAGGUUGGGUAACACUAACUGGAGGACCGAACCGACUAAUGUUGAAAAAUUAGCGGAUGACUUGUGGCUGGGGGUGAAAGGCCAAUCAAACCGGGAGAUAGCUGGUUCUCCCCGAAAGCUAUUUAGGUAGCGCCUCGUGAAUUCAUCUCCGGGGGUAGAGCACUGUUUCGGCAAGGGGGUCAUCCCGACUUACCAACCCGAUGCAAACUGCGAAUACCGGAGAAUGUUAUCACGGGAGACACACGGCGGGUGCUAACGUCCGUCGUGAAGAGGGAAACAACCCAGACCGCCAGCUAAGGUCCCAAAGUCAUGGUUAAGUGGGAAACGAUGUGGGAAGGCCCAGACAGCCAGGAUGUUGGCUUAGAAGCAGCCAUCAUUUAAAGAAAGCGUAAUAGCUCACUGGUCGAGUCGGCCUGCGCGGAAGAUGUAACGGGGCUAAACCAUGCACCGAAGCUGCGGCAGCGACGCUGAUGCGUUGUUGGGUAGGGGAGCGUUCUGUAAGCCUGUGAAGGUGUGCUGUGAGGCAUGCUGGAGGUAUCAGAAGUGCGAAUGCUGACAUAAGUAACGAUAAAGCGGGUGAAAAGCCCGCUCGCCGGAAGACCAAGGGUUCCUGUCCAACGUUAAUCGGGGCAGGGUGAGUCGACCCCUAAGGCGAGGCCGAAAGGCGUAGUCGAUGGGAAACAGGUUAAUAUUCCUGUACUUGGUGUUACUGCGAAGGGGGGACGGAGAAGGCUAUGUUGGCCGGGCGACGGUUGUCCCGGUUUAAGCGUGUAGGCUGGUUUUCCAGGCAAAUCCGGAAAAUCAAGGCUGAGGCGUGAUGACGAGGCACUACGGUGCUGAAGCAACAAAUGCCCUG
rnacentral:rRNA from 1 species